GGUAAAUCUGUGGGUCAUUGGUUUACGGCAUCAGAUGGAAGAAAGGUAUAUGUCACCAAAGAUGGGCAGGAGUUGACAGGCCGAGCUGCUUAUAGGCAUUAUCGGAGGGAAAGUGGGUCAGGA